AACGAACGCUGGCGGCAUGCCUAACACAUGCAAGUCGAACGAGACCUUCGGGUCUAGUGGCGCACGGGUGCGUAACGCGUGGGAACCUGCCCUUAGGUUCGGAAUAACUCCCCGAAAGGGGUGCUAAUACCGGAUAAUGUCUUCGGACCAAAGAUUUAUCGCCUUUGGAUGGGCCCGCGUUGGAUUAGCUAGUUGGUAGGGUAAAAGCCUACCAAGGCGACGAUCCAUAGCUGGUCUGAGAGGAUGAUCAGCCACACUGGGACUGAGACACGGCCCAGACUCCUACGGGAGGCAGCAGUGGGGAAUAUUGGACAAUGGGCGAAAGCCUGAUCCAGCAAUGCCGCGUGAGUGAUGAAGGCCUUAGGGUUGUAAAGCUUUUUUAACCGGGAUGAUAAUGACAGUACCGGGAGAAUAAGCUCCGGCUAACUCCGUG
rnacentral:rRNA from 1 species